AUCCCAUGAUGUGGACACUUCCGCAGCAUAUUUUUAAACCUAUACCAGGCUUCAUCAAAGUUCUCUGAGAUGUAUUGAUGGAAAAUAAAUAUACCAUACUUGAGCUU
rnacentral:snoRNA from 1 species